UGGAAAGCAUGGAUCCGCCUAGGC
rnacentral:siRNA from 1 species